CUCCUUCUUUGUUGUUGCCAUUCUGGGUUUUGUGCUCUGCAUGCAACGGCUUUUCAAAAUCAGGUACACCACUUUCUGAAUAUUAAUUUUGUUUGUUGCAUUGACUUCAAAUGGAAUUUUGAUUCAAACAAAUUAGAUUGGAGAAGGAAUUCCCAUAGUUGAACCUGAGCCCGUAGACAAGUGCGAGGCUCUCAAGCGAUUGCUCGCUCUCAUCGCCCAGUGCUUCCAAAUCUCCUAUUUCUUCCUUGAGUGCAUUGCAGGAAGGAGAGAUAGAGGUACUGCAAAUUGUUCCAAAAAUAGAGCACACCACCCCGACGUGCAUUGCAGGAAGGAGAGAUAGAGGUACUGUAAAUUGUUCCAAAAAUAGAGCACACCACCCCGACAAUGAUAAUCAUAAUGCAGGUUGCAAUUUGAAAAUUAGAACAAGAAACCAUUGUGAAAACCAUUUUAUAACACAAGAUUUCCGGUAAUUAAAUUUCAUUUAGUACAAUGAUGGUUUGCUUCUUAAUUACCUGCAACUUUGUUAAUCUACCACUGUGUAGCAUGAGAUAACACACGCAUGGGAAGACAACAGCCUGCCAAGGAACAAAAGAAAAACUAAAUUAAUUUAGCUCAUUGAUGAACUGCACCCAAUACUGUGGGGUUAUGCACUUAUAUAUAAGAAAGAAUAAGAAAGAAGUUACUCACCACUAGCAUUGCUACUAAGGAUCCAAUCAAUGCCAUCACAGAGCCUUGAAACUCUUGGUGUAUGUAAAUCUGUUAUAUGUUGCAGUAUACUAAAUCUGUUAUAUGACUUCUUUGUAUACCAAAUCUGUUACAUGACUUCUUUUUAUUUUAUUUAUGCAUAUAGUAAGUAUCCUUAAAACUCUUGGUGUAUGUAAAUCUGUUAUAUGUUGCAAUAUGCUUGCUGAACGAGUUGCUUUAGACAUAGUAAAAAGUAAAAUUAUAAAGUUCAACCCAUUUUUCUCAAUAAAAUGGGAAUGAAACUGCUCUCUUCCUCUUCUUGAUACCCACGUUGAUAGCAUUGAUCGUCAACGGUUAAAGGUGAACAUAGAAUCUUGGAUUUUGUUUUUUGGUUUGGUUAAUUCAAUGGGAUUUUAUGUAAUGUACUACUACGAUUAGUACUUUGUUUUUGGGUGGUGAAUUUAUAAGAUUUGGAAUCUUUAUGGAAGAAUAAGGAA